ACAGACUGAAUAUGCUUGCAUAGGCUGACUGGUAGCUAAAAGCAAGACAUUGAGUAGGUAGGGAUGGCCGUUAGUACUGAUUUUACCAUUGUCAUCUUUCCUGCUUUUGAUAGGUGAUGAGUGGACCAUUUUGCAGUUCUCUUCUUGAUCUUAUCUACCGUUGAGGCCAGUUCAUACUCAAGGAGGAUGUCUUUUAGUGCUUGGCAAGAUUCUGGAGUAGCAUAGCAGAAGAACAUCGUGUCAUCUGCAAACAACAAAUGGUUUAUCCAUGGAGAACCUCUAAAUACUCUCACACCCGAGAAAGUCCCCUGCGCUCCACCGCCUUACAUAAACAUGUAAGUACUUCUCCACAUAAGAUGAACAAAUAGGGCGACAUCAGAUCCCCUUGUCUGAUCCUUCUCUGAGGAGUAAUAGAACCAUACACAGCUUCAUUGAUUAAGUAGGAGUAAGUUACAGUUGUAAUGCAUUGAAUAGUCAGAUUGAUCCAUUUCUCGUGGAACCCCAGUCUCUGAAGUACUUGUAUGAUAAAAUCCCACUUCAAACGGUCAUAAGCCUUGCUCAUGUCAGUUUUCACUGCCAUGAGGCACUUUUUCUCUGCUUGUGAUGUCGUUAGGUAGUGGAGUACUUCGUGUGUAAUGAGUACGUUUUCUGAAAUAGCCCUCCCAAGAAUGAAAGACGAUUGGGUCUCUGAGAUUAUUUAGGUUAGGACAGGCUUUAUGCACAUAGCUAGCAACUUUGAUAUGAUCUUGUACAAAACAUUGCAUAAAGCUAUUCGUCAAUAGUCUAAAACUUGUUUAGCUCAUGUAAACUUGGGAAUAAGUCUCACAUGUAUCUUAUUCAAAGAAGUAGGCAUAGAUCCCGAUGAAAAGGAUUGUUGGAUCUCUAGGACAAUAGCUGGUCCAACUGUUUCCAAAUUAGAUUGAAAGAAAGUUGCAGAGAUGCCAUCUGGUCCGGGUGCCUUGUCUGCAUGAAUAGCUAGGAGAGCUUUAAUUUCCGUAGGAGAUGGGCCUCUGAUAAAUAACUCGUUCAUCCCCCUUGAUCCGCAGGGUUCCAAGGCGUUGAAAACAGUUUGUGAACCCGCAAAGGAGGCAGAAGUGAAGAGCUUCGUAUAGUAUUGGGAGAUGAUUCUUGCAAUAUGUUCCUCUUCGAAAUCAGGUACCUGUGCUUCAUCUUCCAAAACUGUCAAUUUGUUUUUUGUUCGACGUCCUCUUGUAACUGCAUGGAAGUAUCCAGUGUUGGAGUCUCUCUGGGUCAGCCAGAUGAGUUGCCUACUCCUCUACCUCCAAAACUCCUCCGAUCCUCUGCUUUAUAAGCCACUAGCAGCUGUGUUUCUGGACUGCACUUUGAGAUAGCCUUCCGACAUAGAGCUAACCGAGAUUCCACUGUUAGGUGUGAGAAGUUGGACCAGAUAUCAGAUAUUAGCUUUUUGACUUCAUCAUUGUCCUUUAGGCGUCUGUCAUAUCUGAAAAUCCGAUUGCCUUUUUUCCUUGUAGGGUCCAUAAACGACAGCAAGGGGCGGUGAUCUGAUCCUUCAUAGCGCAAGUAUUGGCUCCUGCAGGAGGGAUAGAGCUCUGUUCAUUCCGUGUUGCUGAUGUCCCUUUCCAAACGAUAGUGUACGAGGUGGGUGCGUCUAAUUCCCAUCCACGCGGGGAAGUUUCCCAAUUGCUUUAGAUCAAACAGUUCGUUCUGAGAGAGGAAAGUUCUGAAGGAACAUAAAGUACCCUCCGCUCUAUCAGGCCCCCCUUGUUUUUCAUUAUUGUUGAUUAUUUUAUUAAAUUCACCAGUUAGGAACCAAGCUUCUCGUGAUUGAGGUUGGAGAUUUGUAAUCUCUGACCAAACUGCUUGCCUCUUCCUGUGGUCAUGUUCCCCAUAUACAAAGGUGGCAUGGAAGGAAACGCCUUUGUAAGUUAUUCUAGCGUCGAUGAAGUUGUUUGUAGAAGAUAGUAUGAACAGAUCGAUCUCCUUCCUCCAAGCUAGGUAAAUUCCUCCUCCUCCCGGACUAUGAGGUGGAACUAAGGAGCCGGGGGUGCAGGAUUGUAAAAAUCCUUCUUCGUUUUUGAGAUAGCUGGAAUCAAUUGUGUUCUUGGUUCUACUGACGCUCUUGAGGGUCCUGUUGUGUUGCAGGAAACCCUUCUAGAAGUAUUCCCAAGUGUAGUUUAUCUGGCCAAGGCCCCUUGGUGUCUCACUGGUGAUUGAUGAGCAGAGGAGAUGUUUCUCUUCCUGGAGUUAGCUCCUCUGAGCACUUUAGAACUCGCUCUAGCUAGUCUGAACUUCGCAGGUACAUGUUUAGUUUUCUCUGAUCUACCAAGUUUGAAACGGAGUUAGUCUGCGUGGUUUGAGCUAAUUGACUGUGUUCUCCAUCUUCCUCUGGGGGUAGUUGCACAAGUGGCAGUAUAGGUGCCUCUGUUCUUAUUUCAACACUGCCUUGUCUGGGUGUAAGGUUUUCAAUUGGGGAUCUUGAGAAAGGUGAGUAGCUCGUUCCUUGCACAAUUAUCAAGUCUUAUCUUUCAUCCCCCUCUUCUACUUGAUAACCUUAA